rnacentral:misc_RNA from 1 species
GAUGAAGAACGUAGCGAAAUGCGAUACGUAAUGUGAAUUGCAGAAUUCAGUGAAUCAUCGAAUCUUUGAACGCAUAUUGCGCUCUCUGGUAUUCCGGAGAGCAUGCUUGUUUGAGUAUCAGUAAACACCUCAACUCCCUUUUCUUUUUUGAAAUUGGAGCUGGACUUGAGUGAUCCCAACGCUUUCUUCCAAGAAAGUGGCGGGUUGCUUGAAAUGCAGGUGCAGCUGAACUUUUCUCUGAGCUAUAAGCAUAUCUAUUUAGUCUGCCUAAAAAACAGAUUAUUACCUUUGCUGCAGCUAACAUAAAGGAGACUAGUUCUUGUGCUGACUGAUGCAGGAUUCACAGAGACAGCUUCGGCUGACUUUGUAAACUCGAUCUCAAAUCAAGUAAGACUACCCGCUGAACUUAAGCAUAUCAAUAAGCGGGGA